rnacentral:rRNA from 1 species
GACAGAGGGUGCAACCGUUGUUCGGAAUUACUGGGCGUAAAGCGCGUGUAGGCGGCUAUGUAAGUCGGGCGUGAAAUCCCACGGCUCAACCGUGGAAGUGCACCCGAAACUGCGUAGCUAGAGUCCUGGAGAGGAAGGUGGAAUGCUUGGUGUAGAGGUGAAAUUCGUAGAUAUCAAGCGGAACACCAGUGGCGAAGGCGGCUCACUGGCCCGGUACUGACGCUGAGGCGCGAAAGCGUGGGGAGCAAACAGG